UCGUGACGUACGAAGCCGCACGAGAUCGCCCCCGCUGACAACCUCAUAUAGAAGAUGCCGCGAUCUCUUGCGAUCUCGCUACCUCCAGGAUCGGCGUCUGUCGCCACCACCAACCUCCGGGAUUGGCAUCUCUCGCUACCGCCGAGGUACGGGAUCCCGCAUCAUACCAGAGAAGACACUGUCUACGGAGUCCGGGAUCGACGCCGCGGACGUAAGGGAUCACCAUCGCCGACCUUCCAGACGAGACGUCGCCGCCGCCGACCUCCGAGGGGAGACGCUGCCGCCACCUGUGGUAAACCCUAGGAUAGGGCGGUUUCAACUUUCAACCCCAGGGCAGGCCGACAACUUGUCGAUUUGUUGUUCUUCCCUUAUAAGAUCCUUGAGGAUAGGUGCGGCAACUAGCGACACAUGCUGGAGCUUCUGGCGGCGGCAUUACCUGUAUCCACCUCUCCCUGGUCGCCUUUAAGAGUGUGUGCGGUCGACCGUUAAGCUUGUCAUGACGCCCUUUGAAUUUCUGGGCAAGUCGCAGCCUUUUCAGAUUUAUCAACACAAGUUACAUCAGUAGUCAAUAUGGUUCAGAUGCAUAAUAUUGCAGGGUGGAAGUUGUUGAUGUUGUUCAAUUGUAUGCUGCCCCUUGAGGGGAAGCCGUGCGUGCGCCCAGUGAGGAGAAGCGGCAAGGGCUCCAGGUGUGAGAGGCUGAAGCUCGGGGACGACGACAUCAUGCACAAGAGGGCAUACAGGAGGUUGUCCGAAUUCAUGUUCCUCAUGCUCUGAAGGACCAAAGGGAUUUAGGUGGUCAACUCUGAAACUUGGAAUUGUUGUUUCUUUUCUGAAAAAUCUGAACUUCCGCAUAUGUCUCAUCCCUGAACUUUGACGCUUGACUUGAUUGUGCCCAGUUAAAAUGGAUGAGAAGGCCCGUCUAGGUGUACCUGUGCCACAUGUGUACGAUUGUCAGAAAUUGAUUUUUUUGUGUGUUGUCUCUUUACUCCCCCGCCUACCUCAAUGGCAGAUGUGAAGAACCACCUCAACCAGAUGUGCUUUGCCGCGUCAUGCUAGAACUAUAAUUGCCGGCUGCCGUGCAAAACCACCUUUGGCGAUCAAGAUUGAUGACCUGAUGUCACAUGGCGGCUGGUUAGCCGGCGGCGGCUGGAGCCAUCAUUGACCACGACCGUGCCAGGAGCACCCGGGAAAAGGCGAGGACAUGUUGGUACUGAUGGAAUAAUGUAGAUUGGGUCGUCUUCCUCCAGAAACAUAUUACACAAUAUACUUAAGUCGAUUGAUCCUAUUUGGUAAAAAUGCCCCUCAUUUGCUUGAUUAAACUCUACUUGGUAAAAUUAAUUGAGUUGGGAACAGUAACAUAUAUACAUCUACUAUGUCUGGUAUCUAUCUGGUUAUAUUAAACUGACAGUUUAUUCUUCUUGCUGGAAGGAUAUGUCGUGAAAGAUGAUCCAGAUGCUAUUAAAGUUGUAACCUUUGACUGUCCAUGUGAGUUAAUUCUAUGAACAAUACUAGUAAUCCUUGACCUAUGUCCACUUAAUGGUCCUCUCACCUUGAAUCAUAUCAAUCUGCUAUCAAUGCCAAAGACUUAGCUUCGAUUGCUCACCACCCGCUUAAAUCUAUUUUUUUGACCACCUCAAUCUUUCUUGAAUUUUUUGACACACCGAGCAGCAUCGCAAGUUAAUUCAAGGAAUUGUUCUUCUAAAACAUGUAUUCUUUCCUGUCCACGAAAUGUAAUGCUUUGUACGAAACAAUCAGCCUUAAAAACAAAUUAGUAUUGAUGUUCUUUUAAAUAUUUAAGUCGAAAACUGGAAACUUAUAUGUGUUAAAUUGUGUUGAAAAGUAAUCCCAAAAAUAUUACAUUUUUGCUAAGAAUUGGUAUAAAAAAUCAGAAAUACAGAAGUAAUAUGUAGAAGGUAGUACCCUAGAGAGAUGUGUAUGUUUAAUUGUGAUAUUCUUAGGAGUACCUUUGUGGAUCUGAUAUAUCUUUCUUUUGUAGGAUAUGGUUGCUCUUGCUUCAUCUAAAUAGUAUGUCUGGACUGCCAUGAGACCGCGAUUGGUGUAGGAAAUCUUGAAAGCUAUCAUAUUGGUCACAAGAACUUGCAAUACAUCAAUGCACUAUUCUUUUGAAUUUUUUAGUGACACCACAACUACCACCUCUUCACUAAAUGACAGAGGUUGCUAGCAACUGCACCUAGAAAGAUUGUAUUUAGAGGUAUGUUUCCUGUAUCAAGUGCAUGUCAAGGGUUGAAAGAAUUAAUUCGUACAACAUUAUUCACUGGAGGUAGCAUCACGAUGACACAUAAUUAAGGGCUCAUAUUAAUUGGGAGUGUCUAAAAAUUUACCGGCUAUUCUGAUGUUCCAUAAAUCGUUAGUUUACUGAAAAAGGAAGGAGCUACCAUCGUGCUUUGAUUGUGUUCAUCCUGGACUAAUCAUGACCAAUUUGAUGAGCUCUCCUUUGCUCUGAUGAGUAAGCUCUCGAGCUAAUUCUUUCUUCUGAAUAUAUUUGUUACUCCCUCCGUCCAGAAAAACUUGUCACAAGCUUGUCCCUCAAAUGGAUGUAUCUAGCACUAACUUGGUGCUAGAUACAUCCAUUUAAGGGAUAAGCUUUUCCGGACGGAGGGAGUAAAUGUCAAGUUUAAGCUAUACAACAGUUUCAUGCCUUUAUUUCUCCACAACAUUAUGAAUUAUUAUUUUCACCUGUAGACUGUACCCCAAAUUCUUCCAUACUCUAAUGAUCUUGUGUUCAAGGAGCAUCAACUACAUGUUAUGUCAGGCUUGACCAUAUCAGGUGAAGGGAGUGACAAGCAAGUACUUUGUUGACAAUGAGGAGAAGACAAGCAAUAUGAAAAGAUAACCAUGUACACAACACAGAGAAAAUGUUGACUAUUCUUCGCAUCCUACCUAUUGGUAAUGAGAGAAUAUAGCACUGUUUAUUUGAGUGAUGUGACCUAUAAACUUCCCUUUAGUUUGCAUUUCAGUAUUCUGGUUUUGAUGCCCUGGGGGUACACAAGGUUUUCCAUUUAGUUGUGUUCAACACUAAAAAAUGAUAUAUCAUUUUGCCCUUCAUAUACUAAAUCAUCAGAGUGUGCACGUCUAUUUGAGCUCUGUUUUUUAUUAAACUAUAAGGCCACUAUAG